AUUGAACGCUGGCGGCAUGCCUUACACAUGCAAGUCGAGCGGCAGCGCGGGGGCAACCCUGGCGGCGAGCGGCGAACGGGUGAGUAAUGCAUCGGAACGUGUCCUCUUGUGGGGGAUAACCAGUCGAAAGACUGGCUAAUACCGCAUGAGAUCGAGAGAUGAAAGCGGGGGACCGCAAGGCCUCGCGCGAGAGGAGCGGCCGAUGUCGGAUUAGCUAGUUGGCGGGGUAAUGGCCCACCAAGGCGACGAUCCGUAGCUGGUCUGAGAGGACGACCAGCCACACUGGGACUGAGACACGGCCCAGACUCCUACGGAGGCAGCAGUGGGAAUUUUGGACAAUGGGCGCAAGCCUGAUCCAGCCAUGCCGCGUGUGUGAAGAAGGCCU
rnacentral:rRNA from 1 species